GUAACACUACGUUACCUGGCAAAAGGAUAUUUUUUUAGCGAGGUUGGAGAUCUCCAUGGAGUCAGCAGGAGCUCUGUGUGCCGGUGUAUUCAACAGGUUAUAAGUGCCAUUAACCGAAACCUGAACAACAUCACCUUCCCAACAUCUUUGCAUGACCUUGCUGCAACAAAACAGAAGUUCCAUCGUGUAGCAGGAAUCCCGAAUGUUAUAGGCGCUGUGGAUGGAACACUGAUCCCAAAUCAAGCUCCAUCUGAAAAUCCUCAGACGUAUGUGUGCCGAAAAGGAUACCAUGCUGUAAACAUUCAUGCUGUUGUGGAUAGCAGCUUAAGGUUUACCAAUGUCAAUGCAAAGUGGCCUGGUUCAACACACGAUGCCACAGUAUUUGAUAACUCUUCACUGAAGGACCAACUUGCUACCAACAAGCCAGGAUGGCUAUUGGGAGAUUCUGGUUCUCCAUUGAGAGAAUACCUGAUAACACCCAAGAACAACCCACAAACAGCACAAGAAUUGCGAUUCAACGGGGCUCACAGCCGAACUCGAAUUUGUGUUGAAAGAGCAUUUGGACUUUUGAAGGCUAGAUUUAG